CGUGGUAAAUUAAAUUAACAUCUCCAUACCCUCUGGCCUUUAUCUCUUCAGGGGUGUAGAAGAAGGCUGGAUCAUAAAGGCACUGAAUAAGGUACAAUAUGUGACCAUGGUUCAGAAUGGUUGAAUUGUCUCCCCAGAUCAUGAGAUGCCUGGUUCUCUGGAACUUGAUGAGGAGUUCCUUUCUUUGCCUUGCUGUUAAAUCUUCCUGGACAUGCUUGUCACAUUCACUAAUCUCCAUCAGACAUUCUGUAACUUUCUCAUCUGACAUGCCUUCAUAGUGAGCAUCAGAAUAGGCACGCACAAUGCCAAGUUGUUCACACCUCUGAAGCUCUCUCUUUCUAAUUUCAGAGAGAGGGAUAUUUCUGGCAGAAACUGUAAAUUCCACUUGUUGAAGGGUGCCAUCACUCUUCAGAACAAGCCUUUUAUACUUCCUAGGAACAACCAGCUCUCCAAUGGUAGAUUCUCCUGCAUCCAGUUUGUCCAAGAACAGUGAUGUCUCCUCCAAGCAUCCUGUUCAGUCUCUGCUUUGGAAGGGACUGAUCACCUCUUUGCUGCUGCUGGAAACGUUUUAGGUCUACUCCUUGGUUUUCAAGGAGGUUUUCUUUGUCGAAGUUGACCUGAUGGGGCUGUAGAGAAUGGCGUUUUUUUCUCGCUAACUCCAAGAUCUUCCUGUCUCUUCUGCUUUCCAACCCUUACGGCUGCUUCCUCCAUUGUCUCAAAGUACAGAGUGGUCCUUUGUUUUUCCAGCUGACAGUAAGACUGCCUCGUGCUCAGCAUUGUAACUACGUCAUGUUUGGACGGCACUGCUGUAGUAACAUGGCUCCUCAACCGCAGUUAAGAAAAACAAAAGAACUAUAUGAAUCAUAAAGACUAAAUGUUCAACAAACAAUGUCCAAUGCUCAAAUAGUAGAAUCUGAAGAAUUGAAUUAUCUAAACGGCUUAAGCAAAUAAAUGUUAAGUGAGUUAAUUAA